GAGGGUAUAGCUCAAGUGGUAGAGCGCAUGUUCAGCAUGCAUGAGGUCCUGGGUUCAAUGCCCAGUACUUCCU
rfam:Camelus ferus unplaced genomic scaffold scaffold1038, whole genome shotgun sequence.